AUUAAGGUGGCUGAUAAAAGUGGUAGAUUGUAAAUCUGAGAAUGAGUGUGAGCUCCCUUAGUA
rnacentral:tRNA from 1 species